AGUCGAACGGUGAUGGGGGAGCUUGCUCCUUCUGAUCAGUGGCGAACGGGUGAGUAACACGUGAGUAACCUGCCCCAAACUCUGGGAUAAGCACUGGAAACGGUGUCUAAUACCGGAUACGAGCUUCAGCCGCAUGGCUAGGAGUUGGAAAGAAUUUCGGUUUGGGAUGGACUCGCGGCCUAUCAGCUAGUUGGUGAGGUAAUGGCUCACCAAGGCGACGACGGGUAGCCGGCCUGAGAGGGUGACCGGCCACACUGGGACUGAGACACGGCCCAGACUCCUACGGGAGGCAGCAGUGGGGAAUAUUGCACAAUGGGCGCAAGCCUGAUGCAGCAACGCCGCGUGAGGGACGACGGCCUUCGGGUUGUAAACCUCUUUUAGUAGGGAAGAAGCGAAAGUGACGGUACCUGCAGAAAAAGCACCGGCUAACUACGUGCCAG
rnacentral:rRNA from 1 species